GACGAACGCUGGCGGCGUGCUUAACACAUGCAAGUCGAACGGAAAGGGCCUGCUCUUGUGGGGUGCUGGAGUGGAGAAAGGGUGAGUGAAACGCGAGUAAACUCCCCUUGACAGUGGGGGAAAAUCAGGAAACAGGAGCUAAUAUAGGGCAUGAGCACCUGCUACAUAGGGGGGGUUGGAGAGAUUCGGAGGUUGGGGAUGUACACGCGGCUUAUCGGCGUAUUGGUGAGGUGGUGGGUUACCAAGGCAUUGACGGGUAGCCGGACUGCGAGGGUGACCGGCCACAAUGGGACUGAGAUACGGCCAAUACUCCUACGUGAGCCAGCAGUGGGAGACAGUGCACGAUGGGCGGAAGCCUGAUGCAGCGACGUCGCGUGCGGAAUGACGGUUUGUGGGUAGGAACCCGCUUUCGCCUGGGACGAAGCGUGAGUGACGGUAACGGGUAAAGAAGCACCGGCUAACUACGUG
rnacentral:rRNA from 1 species